UACGUAGGGUGCGAGCGUUAAUCGGAAUUACUGGGCGUAAAGCGUGCGCAGGCGGUUUUGUAAGCCAGAUGUGAAAUCCCCGGGCUUAACCUGGGAAUGGCAUUUGGGACUGCAAGGCUUGAGUGCGGCAGAGGAGACUGGAAUUCCUGGUGUAGCAGUGAAAUGCGUAGAUAUCAGGAGGAACACCUAUGGCGAAGGCAGCUCGCUGGGACGGUACUGACGCUGAGGCGCGAAAGCGUGGGGAGCGAACAGG
rnacentral:rRNA from 1 species